rnacentral:rRNA from 1 species
GAGUUUGAUCGUGGCUCAGAAUGAACGCUGGCGGUAGGCCUAACACAUGCAAGUCGAACGGUAACAGGUCUUUCGGGAUGCUGACGAGUGGCGGACGGGUGAGGAAUACAUCGGAAUCUGCUCAGUCGUGGGGGAUAACGCAUGGAAACGUGCGCUAAUACCGCAUACGACCUUCGGGUGAAAGCAGGGGAAUCUCUCGGGAUCCUUGCGCGAUUGAAUGAGCCGAUGUCGGAUUAGCUAGUUGGUAGGGUAAAAGCCUACCAAGGCCACGAUCCGUAGCUGGUCUGAGAGGAUGAUCAGCCACACUGGGACUGAGACACGGCCCAGACUCCUGCGGGAGGCAGCAGUGGGGAAUAUUGGACAAUGGGGGCAACCCUGAUCCAGCCAUACCGCGUGGGUGAAGAAGGCCUUCUGGGUUGUAAAGCCCUUUUGUUGGGGAAGAAAAACAACGGGUUAAUACCCCGUUGGUAUGACGGUACCCAAAGAAUAAGCACCGGCUAACUUCGUGCCAGCAGCCGCGGUAAUACGAAGGGUGCAAGCGUUACUCGGAAUUACUGGGCGUAAAGGGUGCGUAGGUGGUUGCGCCAGUCUGUCGUGAAAGCCCUGGGCUUAACCUGGGAAUGGCGAUGGAAACUGUGCAACUAGAGUGUGACAGAGGGUGGUGGAAUUCCUGGUGUAGCAGUGAAAUGCGUAGAGAUCAGGAGGAACAUUCGUGGCGAAGGCGGCCACCUGGGUCAACACUGACACUGAGGCACGAAAGCGUGGGGGGCAAACAGGAUUAGAUACCCUGGUAGUCCACGCCCUAAACGAUGCGAACUGGAUGUUGGGUCCAACUUGGGAUUCAGUAUCGAAGCUAACGCGUUAAGUUCGCCGCCUGGGGAGUACGGUCGCAAGACUGAAACUCAAAGGAAUUGACGGGGGCCCGCACAAGUGGUGGAGUAUGUGGUUUAAUUCGAUGCAACGCGCAGAACCUUACCUGGCCUUGACAUGCACGGAACCUUUG